UACAGAGGGGGCAAGCGUUGUUCGGAAUCACUGGGCGUAAAGGGAGUCUAGGCGGUUUGGUAAGUGGGAUGUGAAAUGCCCGGGCUCACCCCGGGACCUGCAUCCCAAACUGCUGAGCUUGAGUACAGGAGAGGGUGGGGAAGAUUCCAGGUGUAGCGGUGAAAUGCGUAGAUAUCUGGAGGAACACCGGUGGCGAAGGCGCCCACCUGGCCUGCUACUGACGCUGAAGCUCGAAAGCUAGGGGAGCAAACGGG
rnacentral:rRNA from 1 species